UACAGAGGGUGCAAGCGUUGUUCGGAAUUAUUGGGCGUAAAGCGCGUGUAGGCGGCCCGGCACGUCCGUCGCUGAAAUCCCCCGGCUCAACCGGGGAAGUGGCGUGGAUACGACCGGGCUGGAGGGGGGUAGGGGGAGCCGGAACUUCCGGUGGAGCGGUGAAAUGCGUUGAGAUCGGAAGGAACGCCCGUGGCGAAAGCGGGCUCCUGGACCCCACCUGACGCUGAGACGCGAAAGCCAGGGGAGCGAACGGG
rnacentral:rRNA from 1 species